rnacentral:rRNA from 1 species
GGGGAAUAUUGCACAAUGGGGGAAACCCUGAUGCAGCAACGCCGCGUGGAGGAAGAAGGUUUUCGGAUUGUAAACUCCUGUCUUUUGGGACGAUAAUGGCGGUACCAAAAGAGGAAGCCACGGCUAACUACGUGCCAGCAGCCGCGGUAAUACGUAGGUGGCGAGCGUUGUCCGGAAUUACUGGGCGUAAAGGGCGCGUAGGCGGCCUGUUAAGUCAGAUGUGAAAACCCCAGGCUCAACCUGGGGACUGCAUAUGAAACUGAUGGGCUAGAGUGUCGGAGAGGGAAGCGGAAUUCCUAGUGUAGCGGUGAAAUGCGUAGAUAUUAGGAGGAACACCAGUGGCGAAGGCGGCUUUCUGGACGAUAACUGACGCUGAGGCGCGAAAGCGUGGGGAGCAAAC